UACGGAGGGGGCUAGCGUUGUUCGGAAUUACUGGGCGUAAAGCGCACGUAGGCGGCUUUGUAAGUUAGAGGUGAAAGCCCGGGGCUCAACCCCGGAACUGCCUUUAAGACUGCAUCGCUUGAAUCCAGGAGAGGUGAGUGGAAUUCCGAGUGUAGAGGUGAAAUUCGUAGAUAUUCGGAGGAACACCAGUGGCGAAGGCGGCUCACUGGUCCGGUACUGACGCUGAGGUGCGAAAGCGUGGGGAGCAAACAGG
rnacentral:rRNA from 1 species